AUUGAACGCUGGCGGCAGGCCUAACACAUGCAAGUCGAAUGGUAACAGGAAACAGCUUGCUGUUUCGCUGACGAGUGGCGGACGGGUGAGUAAUGUCUGGGAAACUGCCUGGUGGAGGGGGAUAACUACUGGAAACGGUAGCUAAUACCGCAUAACGUCGCAAGACCAAAGAGGGGGACCUUCGGGCCUCUUGCCAUCAGAUGUGCCCAGAUGGGAUUAGCUAGUAGGUGGGGUAACGGCUCACCUAGGCGACGAUCCCUAGCUGGUCUGAGAGGAUGACCAGCCACACUGGAACUGAGACACGGUCCAGACUCCUACGGGAGGCAGCAGUGGGGAAUAUUGCACAAUGGGCGCAAGCCUGAUGCAGCCAUACCGCGUGUAUGAAGAAGGCCUUCGGGUUGUAAAGUACUUUCAGCGGGGAGGAAGGGAGUAAAGUUAAUACCUUUGCUCAUUGACGUUACCCGCAGAAGAAGCACCGGCUAACUCCGUG
rnacentral:rRNA from 1 species